CACGUAGGGGGCCAGCGUUGUCCGGAAUUACUGGGCGUAAAGAGCGCGUAGGCGGUCUGGUCAGCAGUGGGUGAAAUGCCGGGGCUCAACCCCGGCGCUGCUUGCUGAACUGCCAGACUAGAGUUCGGGAGAGGGCAGUGGAAUUCCUGGUGUAGCGGUGGAAUGCGUAAAUAUCAGGAGGAACACCGGUGGCGAAGGCUGCUGCCUGGAACGAUACUGACGCUGAGGCGCGAAAGCCAGGGGAG
rnacentral:rRNA from 1 species